rnacentral:rRNA from 1 species
AGAAUCAACGCUGGCGGCGUGCCUAACACAUGCAAGUCGAACGAGAAAGUGGAGCAAUCCAUUAGUAAAGUGGCGCACGGGUGAGUAACACGUGACUAACCUACCCUUGAGUGGGGGAUAACCUAGAGAAAUCUGGGCUAAUACCGCAUAAUACCUUCGGGUCAAAGGAGCAAUUCGCUUUAGGAGGGGGUCGCGGCCGAUUAGUUAGUUGGCGGGGUAAUGGCCCACCAAGACUGUGAUCGGUAUCCGGCCUGAGAGGGCGCACGGACACACUGGAACUGAAACACGGUCCAGACUCCUACGGGAGGCAGCAGUGGGGAAUUUUGCGCAAUGGGGGAAACCCUGACGCAGCAACGCCGCGUGGAGGAUGAAGCCCCUUGGGGCGUAAACUCCUUUCGAUCGGGAAGAUAAUGACGGUACCGAGAGAAGAAGCCCGGCUAACUUCGUGCCAGCAGCCGC